rnacentral:tRNA from 1 species
GCGCUUGUGAGGUAACGGCAGCCUGCCUGUCUUCCAAUCAGGGCGUGCGGGUUCGAGUCCCGCCGGGCGCA